GGCUCCAUAGCUCAGUGGUCAGAGCACUGGCCUCGUAAAUCAGGGGUUGCUAGUUCAACUCUCGCUGGAGCUG